GGCCUUUUGAUUAUAAUUUAAGGUCUGGCCUGCCCAAUGAGUUUUUAAAUGGCCGCGGUAUUUUGACCGUGCAAAGGUAGCAUAAUCAUUAGUUUUUUAAUUGAAAGCUGGAAUGAAAGGUUGGAUGAAAAAAUAACUGUCUCUAUUUAAAUUUUUUAGAAAUUUAUUUUUAAGUCAAAAAGCUUAAAUAUUAUUAGAAGACGAGAAGACCCUAUAGAGUUUCAUUAGUUUUUAUUAUAAAUUUUUUAGUAUUUACUUUUUUAUGAUAAAAAUUAAUUUGAUUGGGGUGAUUGAAAAAUUUGAUAAACUUUUUUUAUAUAAAUACAUUUAUAUAUGAGUAAAUGAUCCUUAAAUAAAGAUUAUAAGAUUAAAUUACCUUAGGGAUAACAGCGUAAUUUUUUUAAAGAGUUCAAAUCGAAAAAAAAGAUUGCGACCUCGAUGUUGGAUUAAAAUAAAAUUUUGGUGUAGAAGCUAAAAUAUUUAGGUCUGUUCGACCUUUAAAAUUUUACAUGAUCUGAGUUUAAACCGGUGUGAGCCAGGUUGGUUUCUAUCUCUAUUAAAUUUUAAUACUUUAGUACGAAAGGACCAAGUAUUUAAUUAAAAAUUUUCUUUAAGAAUAAAAUU
rnacentral:rRNA from 1 species